UACGUAGGGUGCAAGCGUUAAUCGGAAUUACUGGGCGUAAAGCGUGCGCAGGCGGUUUUGCAAGACAGGUGUGAAAUCCCCGGGCUUAACCUGGGAAUUGCACUUGUGACUGCAAGGCUGGAGUACGGCAGAGGGGGAUGGAAUUCCGCGUGUAGCAGUGAAAUGCGUAGAUAUGCGGAGGAACACCGAUGGCGAAGGCAGUCCCCUGGGCCUGUACUGACGCUCAUGCACGAAAGCGUGGGGAGCAAACAGG
rnacentral:rRNA from 1 species